rnacentral:tRNA from 1 species
GGGAGUGUAGCUUAGACGGUAGAGCAGAUCCCUCUUAAGGAUAAGGUCGUGGGUUCGAAUCCCACCUCUCCCA